UUCUUCAGGGCAGGGUGAAAUUCCCGACCGGCGGUAAAGUCCGCGAGCCGUAAGGCAGAUUCGGUGCAACUCCGAGACCGACAGUAUAGUCUGGAUGGAAGAAGAA
rnacentral:ncRNA from 1 species